rnacentral:tRNA from 5 species
GCCGGGGUGGCGGAAUGGUAGACGCGCAGGACUUAAAAUCCUGUUCUCGUUUUCGAGAGUGUGGGUUCGACUCCCACCCUCGGCA